CCUUAGCCAAAAUUUUAGGUUACUCUCCCUCCCAAAUUGCUCUCGGCCUCCCUCUGACUCAAUAAAAUUUUAGGUCACUCUUCCUGCUCCCAAAUUUCUCUCGGCCUCCCUCAAUCGCGCUCACCCUCGCCAUCGCUCUCAACCUCGCUGACUCAGUAUCGCGCUCCCCCUCACCAUCGCUCUCACCCUUAAUCGCCCUCACCCUCUCAACCUCAUCGACCCUCACUCUCACUCUCAGCGGCUCUCCCGAUCUUAAUCUUUGAGGUUUCCACCACCGUUAGAUCCACCGCCCCCUCCCUCAGAUCUCCUUUGAUCUACUUCAACCAUGGAGGCGAUUGAAGAGUUGUUGCAACUGUCAGACUCGAUGCGCUAAGGCCAGGCCAUCCUCGCCGACGAAGACGUUGACGAAAACUCUACUGCCUCCUCUCACCGCUCCUCAACGUCGUCGGUCUCGGCCAGGGGCGGAUCCAGCCACGGGCUUGGUAGGGCUCAAGCACCACCGGGCUUUUCGGGCUAAAAAAAAAAUUAGGUAUAUAGAUUUUUUUUUUUGGACCAGUCAUCUCGUAUUCUCGUUUCAAGCCCCACAUCUGCGACUUGGAGACUUGGAGCACAAAGCACACCCGGCUCGACGAUCUGCAAGAGUGCAAGGCUGGAAGCCUUAUAACCAGCAACCCGUCUUCAGUUGUCCGGUCUCCGAGCUCCGCGCAGCCUCCAGCAGUCCAGGCUUCCAAGCCGCACCUGCCACCGCCUCCAGCCUUUCGAUCCCCACCAGCAACCCGUCUCCGCGAUUUGCAGACAGUCAAAGACUCAAAAUGAUAUAAUUGCUUGGCCUAUGGAUACUGAUUAACUGAUGGUAUAUUGAUCUUGAUGAAUUGAUGUUUGAUUACUUGAUUUUAAUAAAGUUUGUAACUUUGUAUGAUUCAUGAUUCAUGAGGAGAAAGCCUCAGACCUCAGAAGCAGAGGGCCACAGUUCCUUUGAGAAACUUGAAAAAAAAUAAAGAGACCUCAACUUUAACAAGCUAACUGGAGAAAUUCCAAGCAGCUUUUCUGGACUAGCAAAUGUGGAUUACAUGUAAGCAAUGAAUAACAGAUCUUGAUUCUUUUACUGAUUACUAGGGGAUUUACAAUAAAGGAGCAGAAUGAGGCCUCGUGUAUAAUUAUUGACUGGAAAUAUGCUCACUGGAUCUGUGCCAGAUUGGCUGAAAGGAGACAACAUUGAUCUUUCAUACAACGAUUUCACCACUAAGUCAGCAGCUGUUAGUUGUGAACCACAAGGCGGCUUGUAAGAAUAUCUUUGUUAAGUUAUAUUUUGUUCAUGUUCUGCAGAGAAAACUUUACUUACGAGUAUAUGUUAAUUACUACAGGAACUUGCACUGCAGUUGGUUUAUCAUGUUUUCUUGCUGAUCUUUUUGGACCCUCUAUUGUUCUGUUUGCAGAUCUGUUUCAUGUUUGAAAAUUGCAAAAUGUCCAAAAACUUGGUACUCUCUCCACAUAAAUUGUGGCGGAAAAGAAGCAACUCUCAGUGAAUGGUGUGGGAGAGAAGAAGUAAAACAGCAUAUUCCCAGGUUGAUAUCGAUGUGGUCAGAACUGAGUGGGCAAAGUUUGUGGUUAAAACAUAUAUGUAAGAUUUGUGUUGGUACUUCUUGGAGACCUAGUUCAAAGUUUGUGGUUAUGUUUUGGUUGGACAGGAUCAGUAGCUAGUACUUUGAAUUGAUAUGUAAGAAAUACUUUAACAAUUGGGUACUCUAUUUCUAGUUUCGGUGUGUUUUGGCAAUGUAUGACAAUGAUGUGCUAUAGUAAAUGACAUUUGAACUAAUUUGUGUUUCA